UACGUAGGGGGCUAGCGUUGUUCGGAAUUACUGGGCGUAAAGCGCACGUAGGCGGAUAUUUAAGUCAGGGGUGAAAUCCCGGGGCUCAACCCCGGAACUGCCUUUGAUACUGGGUAUCUCGAGUCCGAGAGAGGUGAGUGGAAUUCCGAGUGUAGAGGUGAAAUUCGUAGAUAUUCGGAGGAACACCUGUGGCGAAGGCGGCUCACUGGCUCGGUACUGACGCUGAGGUGCGAAAGCGUGGGGAGCAAACAGG
rnacentral:rRNA from 1 species